GCUGGAGUGUAAUGAGGAGGGGAAGGCAAAGGGAGAACACAGGGCCGAGGAAAGGCCGUGGAAGAGGAAGGUAAUGGGUCCAUUUGGAGGGGCUCGCAUGUGAGUAAUGUGAGAGGCGGCGAGGGAAGGGACAGGGGACAGGACCAGCGGACCCCGGAGUGUGAAACAGGUAGAAAACGAAGGGUGACGAGACGAGAGGACGGGGGCGCUGAUUACUAUAGCAUGAGUCCAAGGAGGGCGCGAGGACGAGGGUGAACCAGGGUGAUGGGGAAUACUGAAUAGGAAUGGAGCAGAAGUGCAAGGCAGAAGUGGAAUAGGAGAGAUAGAAGGCGAGGGAGAGAGAGAGAGGGAGGGGGGUGUAGGGGGAGGUGUUGCGGUGUGGUGGUGGUGGGCAAGGACUGCGGGGGGGCAGGAGCCUGGACUGACGCUGUUGAGUCCUGGGGACGCUGCUUUUCCUAGCGAUGUUAUGGGGAGGCAGCGGUGCGCAGCCUCAUGGCGUCGGCGCGCUGGCUUCUUCCAGUCUGUCCUGCCCUGCUGCUCGCCAUUCCGAGGUGUUUGAGGCUCACCACCCCCGCCGUCCGUGCAUGAGGUGACCCUCGAGCCAGGCACCGUGGCACCCCAGGACACAGGGUUCUGAGGGUGUCCUGGGAAAGGGGAGGAAAAAUCGUUACGCGACACCCGCCUGAGCCACGCCAAGCCGCCUGCCUGGGCGCGGGUUCAGUCAUCGCCGGGCGCCAAGGGGAGACUACCGCGCGCUGCUCCCUCCGCGACAUGUGAUAACCCACCAGCAGGCCAGCACCCCUUGUACUUUAACGAACUCGACGAUAAUGGUAAUAGAAGAAACGGUAGAUUAACAUACAACGUGGACGAAAUUGAUUGAUAGUGGAGUUUUGAGUGACUAAAAGAAAUAGAGAUUAGUGAGGAAAGAGAUAACGAAAGGAAGGAAAGAAAGAGGUGGCAAAGAAAGUGAGAGCGAGGGAACGAGAAACAGAAAGAAAGAGAAAGAAAUAUCAACGGAGCGUCCCAAUCUUUCUCUCCAGCGCCCCCUUUCAAGACCUUGGUAUCGAACAAGUGGAGGCAUCCAGCCAUUCAGCCAUUCUCCCAGCGUUUGAGCCUCCACUCCGGCGGGCCUGGCCUCUCCCACUCCCACUCCACUCCCUCCCCACUCCACUACCAGGUUCGUGUUGUUGUAGUUCACGGUUUUGCCACUGCAGACUCCGCGGCGCUGCUGAGACAAGGUGAAGUACUGUUGAAACUUACCCUUUAAUCCCUCUCAAUCCCUCUU